rnacentral:rRNA from 1 species
GGGUUGUGAGGUUAAGCGACUAAGCGUACACGGUGGAUGCCCUGGCAGUCAGAGGCGAUGAAGGACGUGCUAAUCUGCGAUAAGCGUCGGUAAGGUGAUAUGAACCGUUAUAACCGGCGAUUUCCGAAUGGGGAAACCCAGUGUGAUUCGUCACACUAUCAUUAACUGAAUCCAUAGGUUAAUGAGGCGAACCGGGGGAACUGAAACAUCUAAGUACCCCGAGGAAAAGAAAUCAACCGAGAUUCCCCCAGUAGCGGCGAGCGAACGGGGAGCAGCCCAGAGCCUGAAUCAGUGUGUGUGUUAGUGGAAGCGUCUGGAAAGGCGCGCGAUACAGGGUGACAGCCCCGUACACAAAAAUGCACAUGCUGUGAGCUCGAUGAGUAGGGCGGGACACGUGGUAUCCUGUCUGAAUAUGGGGGGACCAUCCUCCAAGGCUAAAUACUCCUGACUGACCGAUAGUGAACCAGUACCGUGAGGGAAAGGCGAAAAGAACCCCGGCGAGGGGAGUGAAAAAGAACCUGAAACCGUGUACGUACAAGCAGUGGGAGCACGCUUAGGCGUGUGACUGCGUACCUUUUGUAUAAUGGGUCAGCGACUUAUAUUCUGUAGCAAGGUUAACCGAAUAGGGGAGCCGAAGGGAAACCGAGUCUUAACUGGGCGUUAAGUUGCAGGGUAUAGACCCGAAACCCGGUGAUCUAGCCAUGGGCAGGUUGAAGGUUGGGUAACACUAACUGGAGGACCGAACCGACUAAUGUUGAAAAAUUAGCGGAUGACUUGUGGCUGGGGGUGAAAGGCCAAUCAAACCGGGAGAUAGCUGGUUCUCCCCGAAAGCUAUUUAGGUAGCGCCUCGUGAAUUCAUCUCCGGGGGUAGAGCACUGUUUCGGCAAGGGGGUCAUCCCGACUUACCAACCCGAUGCAAACUGCGAAUACCGGAGAAUGUUAUCACGGGAGACACACGGCGGGUGCUAACGUCCGUCGUGAAGAGGGAAACAACCCAGACCGCCAGCUAAGGUCCCAAAGUCAUGGUUAAGUGGGAAACGAUGUGGGAAGGCCCAGACAGCCAGGAUGUUGGCUUAGAAGCAGCCAUCAUUUAAAGAAAGCGUAAUAGCUCACUGGUCGAGUCGGCCUGCGCGGAAGAUGUAACGGGGCUAAACCAUGCACCGAAGCUGCGGCAGCGACACUAUGUGUUGUUGGGUAGGGGAGCGUUCUGUAAGCCUGUGAAGGUGUACUGUGAGGUAUGCUGGAGGUAUCAGAAGUGCGAAUGCUGACAUAAGUAACGAUAAAGCGGGUGAAAAGCCCGCUCGCCGGAAGACCAAGGGUUCCUGUCCAACGUUAAUCGGGGCAGGGUGAGUCGGCCCCUAAGGCGAGGCCGAAAGGCGUAGUCGAUGGGAAACAGGUUAAUAUUCCUGUACUUGGUGUUACUGCGAAGGGGGGACGGAGAAGGCUAUGUUGGCCGGGCGACGGUUGUCCCGGUUUAAGCGUGUAGGCUGGUUUUCCAGGCAAAUCCGGAAAAUCAAGGCUGAGGCGUGAUGACGAGGCACUACGGUGCUGAAGCAACAAAUGCCCUGCUUCCAGGAAAAGCCUCUAAGCAUCAGGUAACAUCAAAUCGUACCCCAAACCGACACAGGUGGUCAGGUAGAGAAUACCAAGGCGCUUGAGAGAACUCGGGUGAAGGAACUAGGCAAAAUGGUGCCGUAACUUCGGGAGAAGGCACGCUGAUAUGUAGGUGAAGUCCCUCGCGGAUGGAGCUGAAAUCAGUCGAAGAUACCAGCUGGCUGCAACUGUUUAUUAAAAACACAGCACUGUGCAAACACGAAAGUGGACGUAUACGGUGUGACGCCUGCCCGGUGCCGGAAGGUUAAUUGAUGGGGUCAGCGCAAGCGAAGCUCUUGAUCGAAGCCCCGGUAAACGGCGGCCGUAACUAUAACGGUCCUAAGGUAGCGAAAUUCCUUGUCGGGUAAGUUCCGACCUGCACGAAUGGCGUAAUGAUGGCCAGGCUGUCUCCACCCGAGACUCAGUGAAAUUGAACUCGCUGUGAAGAUGCAGUGUACCCGCGGCAAGACGGAAAGACCCCGUGAACCUUUACUAUAGCUUGACACUGAACAUUGAGCCUUGAUGUGUAGGAUAGGUGGGAGGCUUUGAAGUGUGGACGCCAGUCUGCAUGGAGCCGACCUUGAAAUACCACCCUUUAAUGUUUGAUGUUCUAACGUGGACCCGUAAUCCGGGUUGCGGACAGUGUCUGGUGGGUAGUUUGACUGGGGCGGUCUCCUCCUAAAGAGUAACGGAGGAGCACGAAGGUUGGCUAAUCCUGGUCGGACAUCAGGAGGUUAGUGCAAUGGCAUAAGCCAGCUUGACUGCGAGCGUGACGGCGCGAGCAGGUGCGAAAGCAGGUCAUAGUGAUCCGGUGGUUCUGAAUGGAAGGGCCAUCGCUCAACGGAUAAAAGGUACUCCGGGGAUAACAGGCUGAUACCGCCCAAGAGUUCAUAUCGACGGCGGUGUUUGGCACCUCGAUGUCGGCUCAUCACAUCCUGGGGCUGAAGUAGGUCCCAAGGGUAUGGCUGUUCGCCAUUUAAAGUGGUACGCGAGCUGGGUUUAGAACGUCGUGAGACAGUUCGGUCCCUAUCUGCCGUGGGCGCUGGAGAAUUGAGGGGGGCUGCUCCUAGUACGAGAGGACCGGAGUGGACGCAUCACUGGUGUUCGGGUUGUCAUGCCAAUGGCACUGCCCGGUAGCUAAAUGCGGAAGAGAUAAGUGCUGAAAGCAUCUAAGCACGAAACUUGCCCCGAGAUGAGUUCUCCCUGACUCCUUGAGAGUCCUGAAGGAACGUUGAAGACGACGACGUUGAUAGGCCGGGUGUGUAAGCGCAGCGAUGCGUUGAGCUAACCGGUACUAAUGAACCGUGAGGCUUAACCUUACAACGCCGAAGGUGUUU